rnacentral:lncRNA from 1 species
UGACCACAAAAGAAAGAUUGGGAUUGAUUUUGGGAGUUUUGGUUUCAAUAGUUUAGGAAUAAGGGGCCAAUAAAGGGCCCAAAUAAGCAUUUUUCUUGGUUUUUGCACAAUAACCUUAGGUUAAGUAAAUAGAAAUCUAUGAAAUUUAAACACAAUGUUUAUGACCACAAAAGGAAGGUUGGUAUUGAUUUUGGGAGUUUAGGACCCAACAGUUUAGGAAUUAGGGGCCAAAAAGGGACCCAAAUAAGCAUUUUUCUUGGUUUUCGCACUAUAAUGUUAGUAUAAGUAAAUACAAAUCUAUAAAAUUUAAACACAAG